rnacentral:rRNA from 1 species
CCUACGGGGGGCUGCAGUGGGGAAUAUUGGACAAUGGGGGGAACCCUGAUCCAGCCAUGCCGCGUGUGUGAAGAAGGCCCUCGGGUUGUAAAGCACUUUCAGUGAGGAAGAACGCCUGGUGGUUAAUACCCAUCAGGAAAGACAUCACUCACAGAAGAAGCACCGGCUAACUCCGUGCCAGCAGCCGCGGUAAUACGGAGGGUGCGAGCGUUAAGCGGAAUUACUGGGCGUAAAGCGCGCGUAGGUGGCUUGAUAAGCCGGUUGUGAAAGCCCCGGGAUCAACCUGGGAACGGCAUCCGGAACUGUCAAGCUAGAGUGCAGGAGAGGAAGGUAGAAUUCCCGGUGUAGCGGUGAAAUGCGUAGAGAUCGGGAGGAAUACCAGUGGCGAAGGCGGCCUUCUGGACUGACACUGACACUGAGGUGCGAAAGCGUGGGUAGCAAACAGGAUUAGAUACCCUUGUAGUC